rnacentral:snoRNA from 1 species
UAAAAUGAUGUUAACGCGUGUCAACUGUAAACGCACUCGACUUGUUCGUAGGCAUUAUCAGUGAUGAUUGAAGCAUUAUGUUCGGACUACUGAU